GUGGGGAAUAUUGGGCAAUGGGGGAAACCCUGACCCAGCGACGCCGCGUGAGGGAAGAAGGCCUUAGGGUCGUAAACCUCUGUUGUGUGGGAAGAAGAGCGUGACGGUACCACACGAGGAAGUCCCGGCUAACUACGUGCCAGCAGCCGCGGUAAUACGUAGGGGACGAGCGUUGUCCGGAUUUACUGGGCGUAAAGGGCGCGUAGGCGGUCAUUUAAGUCAGCUGUGAAAUGGUUUGGCUUAACCGGAUCAUGCGGUUGAAACUGGAUGACUGGAGUGCUGGAGAGGCAAGUGGAAUUCCCAGUGUAGCGGUGAAAUGCGUAGAUAUUGGGAAGAACACCGGUGGCGAAGGCGACUUGCUGGCCAGUAACUGACGCUGAGGCGCGAAAGCCAGGGGAGCAAACGGGAUUAGAAACCCGUGUAGUCC
rnacentral:rRNA from 1 species